UAUGAGUAAACUCCACACCGUGUAUAUGUAUUCAUCUUAUGCACGCGAUAAUGUUUAAAUGCAUACCAACACAUUUUGUAUCAUAUGCACGCGUCUCUGUAUUUCAGUGCAUGCACGUAUCACACGUUUGCGUUACUGUUAUGUGCAUUUUCACGAGACCGAGCUCCGCACUGAAAUUCAUCCCUCACGUCUGCACCGGGGUCACGGGUUAAAAAACCAUUGAUUUGUUUGAUUCUGAAAGCCAUUAUUUAACAUCGAACACGAGGCUCAUUUCCUUCCUGUAACCCUAGACUCCUGUCUGAGCGAGACGAGCGAGACGAGCGAGACAGACAGAGAGCCGUCUCUUGAAACGCUCGUCUGUGAUUCUCUGUAAUGCAUAAUCAGCGUUCCUGAUGUGAUCCGGUGUCAGAGAGGGUUUGAACCGCAGGCGUCUCUCUCUAAUGAAGAUGCAGUGGGAUGUUCUUCCCCGCUGAGGCAGUCAGAUCCUCCUCGGGCUCCGGUUGGGAAUCUCUGCAGACAGCCUGAUCCAUCUUCUGGACCUGUUCCCCAGCGGGCCCCUGGCACCCGACCUGAUACCUGGACCAUCUGUGUGCCAUCGUCCGCCGGUGAUACCAUCUGCCUCUGAUAAACCCACGUACACAGCUCUCCUCGCCUCACACUCAGCUCCUUCUGUCAUCGGUAUAGAGGCUUGUACAAUGACUUAUCCAGACUCAUUAUAUCAUCCUGUUUCACACCGGUCCUGGGACGGACUA